UCUGUAGACCAGGUUGGCCUCAAACUCACAGAGAUCCGCCUGCCUCUGCCUCCUGAGUCCUGGGAUUACAGGUAUGCCCCACCACCACCUGGCUAGUUCUUUGUUUAAAGGGGCCUGAUUCAUUGGAAUCACUGGAAGACACCUAGGGUCAGACUUGGUCUGUUCAUUUUUUAUUAAUUUUGAUUGAUUGAUUGAUAGGUUGAUUGUAUAUGCCUCAGUGCACCUGUGGAGGUCAGAGGACAACUUGUGGGAGUCAUUUCUCUCUUUCCACCGUAUCUCUGGGAUUGAACUCAAGUCUUUGGCCUUGGCAGCAAGUGCCUUUACUCACUGAGCCAUUUUGUCCACUCCUUGGUCUGUUCUAAAGGAGCUUAUUUCAAGCACAAACAGAUCCUUGGGGAACAGAUCCUUCUGCCUGUCUACAAGAGAGGCUGAGUCAGCCAGCGUUCUUCUGCAUCAUGGCUCACAUUUUGGCCUCCUCUGUUCCACGGGAGCUUCAUUCCAGGCACUUCCCACCCAGAGAACUGCUCGUCUUUGCAGCAGACAAUAGAGGGCAGCAAACAGAAUAACCGCAGGAAACCUUCGGCCGCCGACUUAAGAGUAGUCAUCACAAGUUAUUUGUCUCCCCACAUCAGGCUCUUUGUGACCGGUGACAGGCAUUUUUCCUCUGGUGGAGUCCAGGCUGGUGCUCCUGGUGACAUGGUCAAUGGAAGCACCUAGGCAAAGGACCAGGACAUCUGUCUGGCUUUCCUUGUCUUCAGGAACAGCAGAAGCUGACUGUCCUCCCUGAGUUUAGCUGUGAGGACACUGGGUGACUUCAGAGUUCAAGCUGAGACCAGGGGAAAAGAGGCUAAAAGGCGGUCAGUGUGCUGUUACAUUUUCUCAAUGAAUGUAGGCUGUCAAUGAGGCCUGGCAGCAGGCACAGCUGUUUAAAUUAGGAACACCAGAGACAAUAGUUUGCAAACAAACCUAGCAGAGUAGGGCUCAGUGAGAGUCGGACCAAAACUCUGUAAACAGUGUCUUGAAAUGCUGCGGUCUAAGCCAAGCCAGGAAGGGCCGCCAUCUUUAGUCCAUUCAAAGCAGACACCCACUGCUACUUUAUUAACAAUUUCAGAAGUAUGACAAAAUUCAUCAGGCGUACUCACUGUGGCACCAGGGCAGGGAGAGUGGGUUUUUUGUUUUUGUUUGUUUGUUUGUUUGUUUGUUUGUUUUUGCUUAUUUUCAAUACCAAUAUGGUCCAAGCCCAUUUCAUUUUGAAUAAUGAAAUUACCAUGCUCCUUAAUUUUGCAAGUGUGAUUUAUGUAUGGGGAAUAAUCGAAGGUCCUGAUCUCACCUCAUCUGUUCCUUUUAUUGGGUCAAAAUUUUUAGCUGGGUGAUGCUCAGCUGCUCACUGUUGGUCUUGGAAAACCAAAGGGUAAGAGCUGCCUGCACGAGCCUGUGUAUCCUCUCUUUUCUUUAGUAUGGGAGUUCUCUGUCUGCA